rnacentral:rRNA from 1 species
CAACGCUGGCGGCGUGCCUAACACAUGCAAGUCGAACGCGAAAGUGGAGCAAUCCAUGAGUAGAGUGGCAAACGGGUGAGUAACACGUGGGUGACCUGCCUUCGAGUGGGGGAUAACGUCCCGAAAGGGACGCUAAUACCGCAUAAUAUGCUGUCUUUUAAGAGAGAGACAUCAAAGCCGGGGACCGUAAGGCCUGGCGCUUGAAGAGGGGCCCGCGCCUGAUUAGCUAGUUGGUGGGGUAAUGGCUCACCAAGGCAACGAUCAGUAUCCGGCCUGAGAGGGCGGACGGACACACUGGGACUGAGACACGGCCCAGACUCCUACGGGAGGCAGCAGUGGGGAAUUGUUCGCAAUGGGCGCAAGCCUGACGACGCAACGCCGCGUGGAGGAUGAAGAUCUUCGGGUCGUAAACUCCUUUCGAUCGAGACGAAUGGCCCUUGGGAUAAUACCCUGAGGGAGUGACGGUACCGAGAGAAGAAGCCCCGGCUAACUCCGUG